rnacentral:siRNA from 1 species
UCCCAAAACUAUUGAAGAUCUUGU